GGAACUGCUAAUUGGUGACACC
rnacentral:piRNA from 1 species